CUCCAGAGGCAUUGUGGGGCUGUGUUGCUGUGGCGAUGCCUCCAGUAUCACCAGCUGUACUUCUCCCCGAUGUCAACAUCGCUACUGGCAACUAAGACGAAAACAACAACAUCAUUUUCAUCAACAAGGUCUCUAAAAAUGGCGAGGCCUUGACAGAGGUGAACUUCCUGUGACGAGGGGAACAGGGAGAGACGGAAACGGAGGAUGAGCCAACAUCUGUCGCCGGGGGCAACGGGUGCUAAAGCCUUCCUCAGCAACUAGAGAGUCCCUCGCUGUCCAACAGAAAAGAGGAAAUCCAUCGCAGUCGCCAUGGCUACAAAGGUUGGAGCUGCUCCACACCAGCCGCACACGGAAGGAUUCAUCCAGCUGCGUUUAGUUAAGUGUGAAGGAACCACUGUCUGCUCCUCCUGACAAUAAAGCACUGAACACAAACCUGAGGACAGACUCCAUUGUACUUUAGCUGUUCAC